GGUGCACGGCAAUGUUUCUGAGUCGAAUCGCAAUUCAUUUCAUUAAACGGGCACCUGCUGAAAUGCACAUUACAUUUGAGUACCUUAAUAACUCUUUGCAUUGGUCAAUGAUUUGGGUUAUAUAUCUUGCAAAUCUGAAAACUCAAAUCAUAAACAGCAGGGACCAGCCGUUGUCGGGAAUCAACGAACUUGCUGAUCCGUUUAAUUUGACAUCCUUAUCGGCGCUGACACUACCAGUUGAAUCAGAGGUCACUGGCUAAAUAGUUGUUAAGGACUACAAAAGUACUAGCACAACCUUAUUUACUUUGAGAGCAGAGACGUGUGAGGGCUGCUUCCGGGCAUUGGAUGAAUUAAGUGCUGAUUCAUCAUUUUCAUUGAUGGGUUCAUUGAGUCAAUAUCCAACAGUUGAUUUCAGGUUUUCAACAGUAUUAUUUGCAGGCGUGGAGAAACCCCGAGUUGUAGUGGCCUUCUUUGGUUAAUAAUAAACUUGAAUUUGUUUGAACAUUUCUAUUUUCUUAAAACUGAUUAUUUUAUGUACUCCAAGUCAAUUUAGUGGUCCAAGGUCAAUUGCCACUGAUUCACUCUUCAUUUACUUUUGCCAGCAACGGGAAGCAAGUUUAAAGCCGGAGGCGAGACGGUUUAUGUCGAUGUGUCAGUCAGUUUGCCAGGAAAGGUAAGCAGCCCAGAAGAUGCACAUGACGAGGUUAAAGCUGGAGGCGACACGAAUCCUCUGGUCGCGCCAAAUUCCACGUCCGGUGGUUGUUGUUGCUCAAUGGGAUGCAGUUUAUUAUAAAUCCAUAAUUAGCAUUAGUCAUUGCUUACAGGCAGUAUCGAGAAGCUACUAGGACAAAAUAGUUUUGACUAAAAUGUUAUCUUAAGCUGAAAUGUUAUUGCCAAUCUUGUCUUGAAAAGUGGUGUACUUGUAACCGUAAUACGCCUAUCAACUCGAAACUUGAACAAUCAUGCUCCCCACCCCCCCAAGUCGAUCAAACCCCGCGCAUUUGAACUUUUGAAGAUUAAAUCGUUCAAAUUCCCGGCCCCUCGGGCCGAAAUGUUGCUCAAAUGCCCUACUCUAUCGUCGGAUUUGCCUGUCAAAUGCAACUCCUAAAGAGAAAUCGUCGUCGACUCCUGUCGUCCUUAAUAAAACUUAAAUAUUUUGUGAGCCUGUCAUAUUUUUAUAAUUUUAAUAUUGAAACUACUAAAAAUGACUUGAAAUUGAAUUAAUUAAGUCGGGCUAUGUCAAUAGAGAUUAGAGAUUUGUAGCUUCGAUUUGACCAGCAAAUAACAGAAUACUAGCGGUUCCAUGGUGGAUGUGAACUGCUUGGGGUGAGACAUGAAGAUAACGAAUGGUGUUGGCGAUCGUUAGAAAAAUAUAGUAAAAUGUCGUAAAAAUAAGUAACUUUAAAAUUGAAUUAUAUUGCAUGCAUUUUUUGUGUAAGCCUUUUUUCUUUAAGGCAUGAGCUUUUACAACUUCGCACUCCCUUAUUUUUCAAGGGAUUAGUAUCUAACAGGCCGAAACGGACAAUGAUGAUAUUUACCUCGAGCUAUUUAUUUUUACUGAUACAUUUGAUUUUUUUACUCGUUGUAGAUUUGUACUCCUGAUAAUAAAUUGCGAUGAAGUAGUUGCCAAUAAUAUAGUAAUUAUUCAUCUGAGAAACUGCGAUCAAAACGAGAUGGAUAUUUCAGUUGAAACAACUAUGUAACAUGCACAGUAACAAGCUGUAGAUUGAAAAUAAAUCACUUUGUUAUACAC